rnacentral:rRNA from 1 species
CCUACGGGAUGCUGCAGUGAGGAAUAUUGGUCAAUGGACGAGAGUCUGAACCAGCCAAGUAGCGUGAAGGAUGAAUGCCCUAUGGGUUGUAAACUUCUUUUAUAUGGGAAUAAAAUGUUGCACGUGUGCGGUUUUGUAUGUACCAUAUGAAUAAGGAUCGGCUAACUCCGUGCCAGCAGCCGCGGUAAUACGGAGGAUCCGAGCGUUAUCCGGAUUUAUUGGGUUUAAAGGGUGCGUAGGUGGACUGUUAAGUCAGUUGUGAAAGUGUGCGGCUCAACCGUAAAAUUGCAGUUGAAACUGGGAGGCUUGAGUACAGUAGAGGCGGGCGGAAUGCGUGGUGUAGCGGUGAAAUGCUUAGAUAUCACGAAGAACUCCGAUUGCGAAGGCAGUUCAC